UGCUGAGGUUAGAACUGGGUCCCACUUUGAUCUGAUUCCAAAGCCUGAUCCCUUAACUAGUGUGUGGAGCUGACUGCAGGGAGACUGCUACACCCAGGAAGAGCUGCAGCUGUCUCAGAUCUUAAAACCAUUCAUCGGGAGAACUAGGAAAGGACACCUCUGGGCCUGCCUGUGAGCUGCUGCUAGAGAAGAUUAGCCGAGAACUGAGUGAAUGAGAGCCACCUUGAGAGGAGUGCCAUCUAACAGGCUGGAGGUCCGGGUGACGUGAGAAAGUAGAAAGGGGAAGCAAGCCCUGGAUUAUGAGUUUCUUCCCCAGUGGGUGUGGUUUGAUGCUGCCGAUUCAGAUGAACAUCACACUCCAGCAUCACACUCCAGCUUCUUCAGCCUUUGACAGACCUGCAGCAGUGAGAUGCAAGGACCUUGGAGGCCCUCACCCUCAGACCCAGGACAACCGUUGGCUUCUCAGUCUCUGUUCUCACAAGCAUCUUGUUCUGCGUUCCCUAGCUGACACCCAGCUCUCCAAUCUACAGAGGACUGCUGUGGCCCCACAGAGUACUCCAGACUAUUAGCUUCCUCUUGUUAUUGUAUAUAUUCCUUACCCUUAAUGGUCCCAAUACAAGGGUGAAUUAUCACUCUUCUCAGAUCUGUCACCAUCAAUCCAAUAAUGAAGAGAACCAUUUUCAUCUGAAUAAGCAAUUAACCUCCAAGUGGCAGCGUGGAACCAAGGUCUACAGUGGCUGCUGAGGUCAGACUUGAAGAAAUGACUCACAUGCAAGGCUGAUCUACAUAAGUAGCCUGUGCUAAGACUGCCAUCUGGUAGAACAAUCUACAUCACACGACUCCACGUUUCCUGUUACCCAAGCAUCUCCAUGCUCUGCAGGUGCAGCUUCGAUGGACCAUGGCCAUAUUGCCCCACUACUAUCAAUCACACUGAGAUGUAGUCCACAGCAUUCAACAAGCCACCACUCAUGGGAUAGAGGAUAGGCAAAAGGAACAACUAAGACAGUAGAGGAGCCCAGCACUCCGAACCCCUAAUCAUGCCUUCGGUGGAUUCCUUUGGUAAAGUUUUCCUUUGUGGGUUUCUUUCAGCACUUGACCCAUAGCCCAUGGAAUGUGUCAGCUCUAAUUGCCUGUGUGGAUUGGCACAAGUCGUGCCUCAAAAUUGGAAUGUUGUCACAUAUAACAUAGCCUUUCAGAGGGAUAAAUGUGGAAAAUGUUUUACCCAUGAAUUCCUUAGAAGCAAUUGUGCUCUAUCACGUGAAAGGCUGAAGACCUGGACAGAACCUAAUGACUAUAUCCCCAAGAUCCCCAAGGUUCAGUGGCUUUCAGGAUGUUGCUCUCCCUGACUCCAUGGACAUCACAGAAUGACAGUUGUCCACUGGAGUAUUCUUCACCCAGGCAGCUUUCUAAAAAAAGGAAAUUUGAGAGUUGCAAGGACAGAUGAAGGGGCUGAGGGCCUGGGAUCCCUUUAUGUGAGACUCAUUAUUGAAGAACAACUUAUACAAUUAUUAUCUGAGGACCAGGUGACAGCUGUCAAGAAGGCCUCCUUGUAAGAGGGUGCAGAAUAUAUGAAAUUUGUCUUUAGGUGAUGAUCUACUACUAAGAGUGAUGCUAUGAGGUUGGCAUCUAAGGAAAAGAAAAGAGGCUGGCAUAUGGUGAGCACCUAGUCUGUGCCAUGAAUUGUGAACUUAACCUUGAAUUCUCGUAUGUUCAUCUAAGGUCUGUUUUCUUUAAGGAGAGAUUGUGACCCUCUUGGUCUGGUAUGCAAGCUGUGAUGAAUACAGAGCUCUUCAGAUGGA
rnacentral:lncRNA from 1 species